CCGCACCCGGCCUGCCCCCAUCUUUUAAAGGUUGGCUUUCCUCUUUCCACAGUUGCAGAUCAAAUUCCUAUCCUAGGGCCCCCGGCACAGUACAGGCUGGAGAGAGGGCAGGCUCGAAGGCUUCUGCACAUGCUGCUUUCCUUGUGGAAGGAAGACUUUCAGGGGCCGGUUCCGCUGCAGCUGCUGCUGAGCCCAAGAAAUGUGGGGCUUCUGGCAGACACAAGGCCAAGGGAGUGGGACUUGCUGCUAUUCUUGCUCCGGGAGCUGGUGGAGAAGGGUCUGAUGGGACGGAUGGAGAUAGAGGCCUGCCUGGGCAGCCUCCACCAGGCCCUGUGGCCAGGGGACUUUGCUGAAGAAUUAGCAACACUGUCUAAUCUGUUUCUAGCCGAGCCCCACCUGCCAGAACCCCAGCUAAGAGCUUGUGAGUUGGUGCAGCCAAACCGGGGCACUGUGCUGGCCCAGAGCUAGGGCUGAGAAGUGGCCCUGCCUUGGGCAUCGCACCAGAACCCUGGACCCCCGCCUCACGAGGAGGCCCAAGUGCCCAAUGCAGACCCUCACUGGUUGGGGUGUAGCUGGGUCUACAGUCAGACUUCCUGCUCUAAGGGUGUUGCUGCCUGGCAUCCCACCACGCGAAUCCUAGAGGAAGGAGAGUUGGCCUGAUUCGGGAUUAUGGCAGAAAAGCCCAGAGAUGCCAGUCCUGGAGUAGAAGAGGUGGUGUUUGUUUAUCUCUUGGAUGCUAAAUGAAAUGAGGUGUGUGGGCUUGUCAACACAGAAUUCAAGCCUCAUUUGCUAUCCCAGCAUCUCUUAAAACUUUGUAGUCUUGGAAUUCAUGACAGAGGCAAAUGACUUCUGCUUAACUUAUGAAGAAAGUUAAAACAUGAAUCUUGGGAGUCUACAUUUUCUUAUCACCAGGAGCUGGACUGCCAUCUCCUUAUAAAUGCCUAACACAGGCCGGGUCUGGUGGCUCAUGCCUGUAAUCCCAGCACUUUGAGAGGCCCGAGGUCGGCGGACUGCCUGAGGUCAGGAAUUCAAGACCAGCCUGGCCAACAUGGCAAAACCCCGUCUCUACUAAAAAUAAAAUUAUUAGCUGGGCAUGGUGGUGUGUGCCUGUAAUCCCAGCUACUCAGGAGGAUGAGGCAGGAGACCUGCUUGAACCUGGAGGUGGAGGUUGCAGUGAGCCGAGGUCGCACGACUGCACUCCAGUCUGGGUAACAGAGCGAGACUUUCUAGAAAAAGCCUAACAAACAGAUAAGGUAGGACUCAACCAACUGAAACCUGACUUUCCCCCUGUACCUUCAGCCCCUGUGCAGGUAGUAACCUCUUGAGACCUCUCCCUGACCAGGGACCAAGCACAGGGCAUUUAGAGCUUUUUAAAAUAAACUGGUUUUCUUUACCAAGGGCUUGAUGUCUA
rnacentral:lncRNA from 1 species